AUAGGACAGUGGUGCAUUAUUCUAGUUAUAUUAUCUAUUAUGAGGGUGGGGCUAAAAAUCCACUAAAGGGCACAUCGUUGAAGUUUCUUGUUCGUGCGCAAAACGCCCAGUUAUGUGUGCAUUCAGGGAGUAAAGAAAAUAGGGCAGUAUGUAACGGCAUACAUAUAUCGACCCUGUUUUCGCGGAGGCUUAAAUAGAGUAUAUAUUUUUUAAGUUAAACCUAUGUAUAGUGCCAAGACACGAAACAUAGAGUAGCCUGUUUUGAGUGAAAGUAUUGGGAUUAACGUUACAUAAAUUGAAAUGUUAUGGCCAUACAUUUUAUUUUAUCUAGUUAUGAAAUUUCUUUUGCAAAAAAAACUAGUAAUAGAACCAAUAUAUUAAGGAAAACUUCUAGAAUGUUUGCUUGAAAAAAGCAUAGAAGUAUAGGGAUUAAGGUGCGGAUUUAAGUGGCAAUCUGGUAUCUUUUGAAAUAUAAAGAUAUUUUGUUAAAUGGAAACAGCUAAAUAGUAAUGUUUAGUACAAAAUAGAGAAAUUCGACCAGACCUAAACCGUAAAAUUUACUUAUAUUUCUACCACUACUUUAUAUAA
rnacentral:sRNA from 1 species